GACGAACGCUGGCGGCGUGCUUAACACAUGCAAGUCGAACGGAAAGGCCCUGCUUUUGUGGGGUGCUCGAGUGGCGAACGGGUGAGUUACACGUGAGUAACCUGCCCUUGACUUUGGGAUAACUUCAGGAAACUGGGGCUAAUACCGGAUAGGAGCUCCUGCUGCAUGGUGGGGGUUGGAAAGUUUCGGCGGUUGGGGAUGGACUCGCGGCUUAUCAGCUUGUUGGUGGGGUAGUGGCUUACCAAGGCUAUGACGGGUAGCCGGUCUGAGAGGGUGACCGGCCACAUUGGGACUGAGAUACGGCCCAGACUCCUACGGGAGGCAGCAGUGGGGAAUAUUGCACAAUGGGCGGAAGCCUGAUGCAGCAACGCCGCGUGCGGGAUGACGGCCUUCGGGUUGUAAACCGCUUUCGCCUGUGACGAGGCGUGAGUGACGGUAAUGGGUAAAGAAGCACCGGCUAACUACGUG
rnacentral:rRNA from 1 species